rnacentral:rRNA from 1 species
GACGAACGCUGGCGGCGUGCUUAACACAUGCAAGUCGAACGAUGACGACCGAGCUUGCUCGGUCUGAUUAAUGGCGAACGGGUGAGUAACACGUGAGCAACCUGCCCUUCACUCUGGGAUAACCUCGGGAAAUCGGGGCUAAUACCGGAUAUGAGCUCCUGUCGCAUGGCGGGUGUUGGAAAGUUUUUCGGUGAAGGAUGGGCUCGCGGCCUAUCAGUUUGUUGGUGAGGUAGUGGCUCACCAAGGCGAUGACGGGUAGCCGGCCUGAGGGGGCGACCGGCCACACUGGGACUGAGACACGGCCCAGACUCCUACGGGAGGCAGCAGUGGGGAAUAUUGCACAAUGGGCGAAAGCCUGAUGCAGCGACGCCGCGUGAGGGAUGACGGCCUUCGGGUUGUAAACCUCUUUCAGCAGGGAAGAAGCGAAAGUGACGGUACCUGCAGAAGAAGCGCCGGCUAACUACGUG